rnacentral:rRNA from 1 species
AUAACGUUCGGAAACGGACGCUAAUACCGCAUACGUCCUACGGGAGAAAGCAGGGGACCUUCGGGCCUUGCGCUAUCAGAUGAGCCUAGGUCGGAUUAGCUAGUUGGUGAGGUAAUGGCUCACCAAGGCGACGAUCCGUAACUGGUCUGAGAGGAUGAUCAGUCACACUGGAACUGAGACACGGUCCAGACUCCUACGGGAGGCAGCAGUGGGGAAUAUUGGACAAUGGGNNAAAGCCUGAUCCAGCCAUGCCGCGUGUGUGAAGAAGGUCUUCGGAUUGUAAAGCACUUUAAGUUGGGAGGAAGGGCAGUUACCUAAUACGUGAUUGUUUUGACGUUACCGACAGAAUAAGCACCGGCUAACUCUGU